UACAGGCCGCCGCCGCUGCUGCCGUCACCGUCGCCCCCCCCCUCCGCACGCUCAUACGCACACACGUGCACCGCUGCCCGUCCGCCACCCUCUUCUGCAAUCUGCACCGGUGCUUGUCGGCGCUGUCGACAGCGAGAGGCAGACGGAAGCGGCCCAGUCAGUAGAAAGGGGAGUGGGGCCAGAGGUUUCGCUCUCGAGGCGCUUUGGCUUCCGUCUGUGCAUCUUUCUCGAUUUCUUGUCGGAUGCUGGAAGGGGCACCGCAGCCAGGGCCGCGCAUGAGCAGGAAGGACAAACAGACACGCACAAAGUAGAAAUUAUCCGGGCACACGCGCAAGCACGCUGACCCCUUGCGCUUCGCUCUCGCUGUCACGCGACUACACACGCACCUACCGAGAGAUGCCUCCCAAGCGGCCCUCUGGGCGUUCACUGGGGCCGGUGGGGUCGUCGUCGCUGACAUCAUCUACCCGCACGCCCCUUCACACACAGGAGCUGCUGCUAUUCAGCAGUCCCAUCUCCGCCACUCCGGCGAAACGAUCGACAUCGACGAACAAGCGGACAGGGUCCUCUCACGCUGUUGGAGCGCGCCAAGCUGGGCAUUCCCGGGGUUUCUCGCAGCAUCGCCAGUCACCAUCCUCGACGGCGGCCUGCAAAUGGACCGAUCGCACACCGGCCGAGUACGAGCCUCUCCCCGAGCACUACCACGCGGCACCCUGUACUUCAUCCAAAGGGUUUUCUUCUUCCAUGGCCGUCGCACCGUCUGGGGCCGUCACAGCGAACGCGAACGGCAGCCGCGUCCCGCUCCCGCCUCCCCGGCCGCAGAUCCCGCCGGCGAACGGUGCUGGUCUUACUGCUACGCCAACAACCACCGCACCUCCCAUCGUUGCCUCUGGCGCCGGAAGUCGUGUGAUCCGUCUUCUGCGCGACGCCCGUGCGGCGGUGCAAGACCCGAUCCGACCCGAGACACCAUUAGAGGUCUUCGCAGCACCGCCUUCUCUUUCGACAGGCGCGUCAGCGGAUAACCACAGACUGAGUCGCACAGCCGCCUCUUUUCACGCUCGCCGCCCUGUUCGACUGGAGAGCCGUUCGCAGCGCCGCCUGCCUGCCGGAUGGCGUCUAGCCCCCAUGGCACCGCCUUCCUCAGCGUCGGCGUCGCCCUUCUCUGGUGCGGCUCUCCAGAUAGCUGGGGGAAACGCGGCUGCGUCUUUGACUGCACCCGACGCCAGAGACGCCAUGCCUAGCAGCGCCGAUCCCCCCGUAUCCGUGUCUCACACAUCUCCGAUGCCCUCUGCAGGGAUGCUCGAGCCCCCUGGCCGCCUCACCGCUGAUAAGGAUGCAAACAACGAGCAGGCGGGACAGUCGCCGGCAGCGUCUGGCAGUCACGGAAUUGAUGCCCAGGAGUUCAGCCAACUUUACCAUGUGGCCCAGCAAGCAGGCGAUUCCAGAAUUGAACAGGCAGUCGAUCUUCUUCUUCAGCUGAAGCAGUGGCUGGUGACAUCACUGCACUCGACUGGAAAGACGCCCGCACUUGACGGGGAGGCCGUGGCGUGCCUUCAGACGACACUGCUGCACUUCUGCAGGUAUUGGCCCACUGGCGCCACGCUGCGACAGGCCGUGGAUUACUGCUUUUCCAGGAACUCUGACAUAGAAGAAUUUGACAGUGCCGAGGGCUCUCGUGCAGCAGCUUCGGCAAACACCACCCUGGUACCACUCCUAUACGCGCAAAGGUCUUUGCUUGCUGCGACCAUCAUGCUGCAGAGCUUCCCGGUCACAGCGCUCGUGGCGGAGCCCGUUUCGUUUGAGAAAAUGGUACGCACACUGCACAUUAUUGCGGAGGCGGGUCUCGCCGAGUGGGUAGCGCGUGAGACGGAUGCUCUCGGGGCACUGGUAGAAGCUCUGCGGCUGCUGGCGGGGCCUGAGCUCAGUGCCCAGCCGCAGGCGGUGCAGUGGGUUGAGUGGGUCUUGGAGACCGUCGCCCUUUGUUUGGAAGAUGCCGCCGACACCGCUGCCACCUCCGCGUCUCAUGGUGCUCCUCUGGGAGCUGGCGAUCUGAGCAUGCUUCGACUUCGGCAGCGACUGAACAGCAGUGGCUUUUCGUCACCCACGAGUCGUCCUCUUUCAGGCUGCGGGGAGACAGACGUGAUUCGCGGCAGCGGGCUUGUAGACGGCGAAGCUCCGAACCAGCUGCGCCGGAAGCAGUCAUGCCAUGUGAAGUCCUCUUCCCGUCACCUCCAUCCGCAUCCUGUCAACAACGCGCCCUUCGCUGACUCCAUCUCUUCGGGGUCACCUCUGAGCUUUAUCCAGAGUGGGGGCGGCGGGGCCGCCGCCGCGGCAUUCGCGCUCUUUCCGCCCCGCACUGCACCAGAGGAACACGUGAACCUUUGUGACCACCUUGUUUGUCUCGGCUUUCUGCCUACCCUACAGCGGAUCAGCGAUCACGCGCUAGCGCAGUGUGCCCCCUCGAACGGAGAUCGGGCAGGCUCUUCGACAGCGAAUGCCCUUGCAUCGCUGCUGCCUAUCAUUGGUACCCUUUAUCGAUGCUUUGCUCAGAGCUACCCGGAGGAGUUGCGUGGGCUCGGUGUCUUGGGCACCCUCACGAGCAUGCUAAACAUGUGCGCGACGGACGCGGCAACGGUUGAGGCGGCCGCGCGCACCCUGGUGAAACUCACCUUCGUCGAUGAGUGCUUGGCGGAGAUGCAGGCAGGAACGGCCGUGAUUGCAGCCGCCGCGCACGCGCUGCGCUCACAGCUGUUCCGCACGCACGCAGACACACCGCAAGAGUCGUCGAUAGAGCUCCUAGUCUCCCGUCUGUGCGGCGUGAUGGCCCGCGUCGCAGAGGACAGCACGGAGCAGCAGGAGUACCUUGUGUCUACUUCGAUGGUGCACCUCUUGGAGGCGCUAACAACGCGUUACGUUACCGUUUCCGGCCCUGCAGACCUCGAGCUAGAGCAUUUCAGUGAUUCGUUGCCGCUGCCGCCAUCGCCAGUGCUACAGGCUGUGGUCUGGGUGCUUGGUAUUGCAUCCAUGUCACCCCAGUGCCCCUUGCAGCUCGUGCGGUCAGUGACGCCGCCGCUGGUGCGCCUCUUGGCGGUGCUGAGGAAAACGCCGAAUAUGCAGUUGACGGCCGUGUACGUGCUCAUGUGUCUCAGCAAUCUGUCGUACUUCUUCGGCGCCUUCGAGUCUUUAGAGCCGGCCCGCAGUGAGAACGACGGCGGGUAUGCAUCCGACUGGCUUCCCUCCCUUUACAGCUCCCUCGGGUUGCUGCUGGCACAUUACCUCUUUGAGGACAACGCUGAGGCCACUGUGGAGGCUACUCGCAUCCUCGGUAACAUCAGCUACACGAACGCCGGGCGCGACUGGAUGGAGGCAAACCACUGCGACGAGGUGACAGUGCUCUUCCUCGGACACGAAGAUUUGCGUAUCGUGUACAACUGCUGUGGAGUGCUGCUCAACCUGACGGCAGCCUCGCCGUGCCGCAUCGUGCAGGAUCCAGAGCUGCUGCAAACCAUGCUCUCAUACACGUCGCGAUACACCGACCAGGACAGAGUCGAGGCAGUGACGGCUCUCGAGGAGGCGCGACUGCGUCAGGAGCAGCAGGAGCUGCAGCAGCAGCGGCGCGGCGGGGAUGUGAAGGAACUCGCGUCCGAGGCGAGCAGCCACAUCGCACAGAUCUCGGAUAUUGUGGAGAAACUGCUCCUCAACGUGCAUGGUGUGCUUAAAGCAUCCGCCAUAUAGAAAAUGUCGGCAGGGAUAACAAAGGCCCGCAGCAGGCUACCGCGCUGUGCCGCAGCCUGGCAACUGUUGUGCUUCAAGGUGAUGUGCGUGCGGCGCUGCAUACGAGGAUUGCGUGUAGUGGUGGUUAGGGGCCACUCCACACGUGUGCUCGUGCGGGCCAUCCUGUAUUUGCUGUGGUGGCCAUUUUGAUUCACCCUUCUCCCUCUUUCUUUUGCAGGGGCUGCUUCGCUCCGUCAUGUACAUAGCCGACGAUGCUGUUGUUACGUGUUGAUUGCAUGUGUGCGCCAAGCUAGUGUUUGCCUCGUUCCAACCAUCGCUCCCUCGAAUGGAGGGGGGAGAGGGGAGUUCGCGCCGUGGUAGCGCGUACGGAUGCACGUGCGAGCACGCGCGCGUGCUCGGCCGGUGCGGCGACACGGAUUUCGGUUGAUGGACGAGAAAGAAGGAAAAGAAAGACAACGCCAAUGCCAGCAAGGACUUUCUCUUCUUUCCACCACUCCGGAAAAAGGGCGAGACCGAUGCAUUAAGCCCCAACGGUCGGACGCGUGCAGUACCUGAGAUACA
rnacentral:misc_RNA from 1 species